rnacentral:rRNA from 1 species
UGCCAGCCGCCGCGGUAAUACGGAGGGUGCGAGCGUUAAUCGGAAUUACUGGGCGUAAAGCGCACGCAGGCGGUUUGUUAAGCUAGAUGUGAAAGCCCCGGGCUCAACCUGGGAUGGUCAUUUAGAACUGGCAGACUAGAGUCUUGGAGAGGGGAGUGGAAUUCCAGGUGUAGCGGUGAAAUGCGUAGAUAUCUGGAGGAACACCGAUGGCGAAGGCAUCUCUCUGGGCCAAUACUGUCGCUGAGGCGCGAAAGCGUGGGUAGCAAACAGGAUUAGAUA